rnacentral:rRNA from 1 species
UACGGAGGGUGCGAGCGUUAAUCGGAAUGACUGGGCGUAAAGGGUGUGUAGGCGGUUUAGUAAGCUAAGUGUGAAAUACCUGGGCUUAACCUGGGAAGGUCAUUUAGGACUGCUAAGCUAGAGUAUGGGAGAGGGUAGUGGAAUUUCCGGUGUAGCGGUGAAAUGCGUAGAGAUCGGAAGGAACACCAGUGGCGAAGGCGGCUACCUGGCCUAAUACUGACGCUGAGACACGAAAGCAUGGGGAGCAAACAGG